CAAGAGCGUAUGUAAAAGUGGUUGCAGUUAAAAAGCUCGUAGUUGAACCUUGGGUUUGGUUGGCCGGUCCGCUUUUUUGCGAGUACUGGAUUCAACCGAGCCUUUCCUUCUGGCUAACCAGUCGUUUCGGCGGCUGGCGAACCAGGAUUUUUACUUUGAGAAAAUUAGAGUGUUCAAAGCAGGCAUUAGCUUGAAUAUAUUAGCAUGGAAUAAUAGAAUAGGACGUUAUGGUUCUAUUUUGUUGGUUUCUAGGACCAUCGUAAUGAUUAAUAGGGACGGUCGGGGGCAUCAGUAUUCAGUUGUCAGAGGUGAAAUUCUUGGAUUUACUGAAGACUAACUACUGCGAAAGCAUUUGCCAAGGACGUUUUCAUUAA
rnacentral:rRNA from 1 species